AGAGUUUGAUCCUGGCUCAGGAAGAACGCUAGCGGCAGGCCUUAUACAUGCAAGUCGAGGGGCAGCAUUUACUUCGGUAAAUGGCGACCGGCGCACGGGUGAGUAACGCGUAUGCAACCUACCUUUAACUGGGGCAUAGCUCGAGGAAACUCGAAUUAAUUCCCCAUAGUACAUUAUAAUAUCUCAUGAUAUAAAUGUUAAAGAUUUAUCGGUUAAAGAUGGGCAUGCGUCUGAUUAGUUUGUUGGUAAGGUAACGGCUUACCAAGACUACGAUCAGUAGGGGGUCUGAGAGGAUGAUCCCCCACACUGGUACUGAGACACGGACCAGACAUCUACGGAUGGCAGCAGUAAGGAAUAUUGGGCAAUGGGCGCAAGCCUGACCCAGCCAUGCCGCGUGCAGGAUGACGGCCCUAUGGGUUGUAAACUGCUUUUAUAUAGGAAGAAAAUACUCUUGCGAGAGGAUCUGACGGUACUAUAUGAAUAAGGACCGGCUAACUCCGUGCCAGCAGCCGCGGUAAUACGGAGGGUUCAAGCGUUUUCCGGAUUUAUUGGGUUUAAAGAGUGCGUAGGUGGUUUAUUAAGUCAGUGGUGAAAUCCUGCAGCUCAACUGUAGAACUGCCAUUGAUACUGGUAAACUUGAGUUUGGUUUAGGUAAAUGGAAUUUAUGAUGUAGCGGUGAAAUGCAUAGAUAUCAUAAGGAACACCAAUAGCGAAGGCAGCUUACUGGACCACAACUGACACUGAGGCACGAAAGCGUGGGUAGCGAACAGGAUUAGAUACCCUGGUAGUCCACGCCGUAAACGAUG
rnacentral:rRNA from 1 species